UCUAUGCUCUAUGCGAACGCAACAUCUAUACUCUAUGCAUCUGCAUAAAGUAAUAGAUUGCGGUCGCAUAAAGUAGGCCUUGACCAUGCCCAUGCGAUCGCACACUUGGUAGUUCUAUGCGGUCACAUAGACUAUCAAGUGCGGUCUCAAAUUUUAUUUUAUUUUAUUUUAUUUAUUUAAUUUUUUUUGGGGAAAUUCGUGCCUAUAUAUGAGAUUGAGUGUGAAGGAAUGCACGUGUAGCACACUUGAAUUUUUCCAAAAGGUUUUUGAAUUUCGAUUUUUGAAUUAAGACUUGAACUGACCUUACACCACCCCCAAACUUGCCAAAGCACAUUUUAAACCAUAUGGGGGUGUAUAUAGGCCUUGAAAUUAAUGUCAAAACCAAUUUUAUGAUUGAACUCACACCUCCAGAAGAUCUCAGCAUGCAAAUCUACGAAAAAAUUAGUAGUAUGACUUAGAUGCUAAAAAAAAUAAAAUUGAAAUAACAAAAUAAAAUAAGGCAAAACAAAAUAAAGAACACAGAAUACUGUUCGAAUUAGUGCCAAGAUUAAACGAAUACUUAAUCCCCGACAAUAACUCCAAAAAUUUGUUCACGAAAUAUUUUCUUUCGUUUUGUACCCGCAAGUGUGGUUCUCAACAAGUAAUAAAGUGAAAAAUAGAGUUCAAAUAUCGUCUUAUAUUAUCCUCGAGUUGAUACUUAGCUCGUUUGCAUUUUCGAUUUGCCUUUUGGGUCAACUUUUGAUUAUUUGCGCUUUAGUCCCUAAAUUUUCAUUUUCUUUCAUUUUGGCCCUUUUCACAUCUUUUCUUUUGAAUUUUGUCACAUCCAUCAAUAUAGUCCUACAAAACAAAAUUACAUAUAAUUAAGUCGUAUUCAAUCAAUUUCAUCAAUAAUUAAUUAUGUUUUGUGGACCAAAUAAGUGUGUAAAAACGCACGUAUUAAGUUCUCUCAGUUGAAGAGAAAUAAUGUGAAUGAAGAUAAGAAUAAUAGAUAUCCCCAAUAUAUUAGGAAUAAAAACAUUUAAAUUUAAAUUAGCUUAUUAAAAUAGUUUUUUUAGUUUGACUAGAAUUAGGGUUUUAUAUCCCAUCAAAAAAAAGAAUUAGGGUUUUAUAUAAUAGAUUUUCUAGUUUGACUUAAAUUAUGUUUUAUUUCAUUUAUUUCCUUCUUAAAUUAGGUUUGCUUAAAUCUAUUCAUCGUAAUACUUAGACUUCGAUUUUUAAUAAACUAAUAUUUUUUGAUUCUGUACCCUCUCUUUCUCUCCCUUUCUUCUCAUGUCUUAUUCUUGUUUGUCACAUUUUGUAUCACUUAGUCGAUGCUAUUGGCAUUUGGCCCUUUGUUUCUAUAUGAAAUAUGUUUUACCAAUUUUUGGAAUUGUAUAAUUUAGCAAUAUUCAUACCUAGAUUUUGGUAAAAAGCUUAAGGCCCCGUUUGGGAGGGAUUUGGAGAAUUGAUUUUUUGACCGUUAAAAGAAAAGUGGGGUCUACCUGUGAGAGAAAUAAAAAAUUACAGCUAUAAUAGUGAAAUAACGGUCAAAAAAUCAAUUUUUUGGGACAAAAAAUCCCUCCCAAACAAGCUCUAAAGAACAUUAGUUUGCUAAUUAACUAAACUAUGGAUGGGUGUAGUCAAAAGAUAAUGUUGAGGACAGUGCUGUUUGAGACAUUAUAAUUUGACUUAAUUUCCUUAUGUUGGAUGGACUAUUGUCCAGCAUCAAGUUCUAAUAUAAAUUGUGUGUAAUUUGUAUUAUGC
rnacentral:lncRNA from 1 species